UAAAUAGUUAAGCUUAACUUCGGUUAGGUUGUCAACUUCUUAGAGGGACUAUCGGUGUUUAACCGAUGGAAGUUUGAGGCAAUAACAGGUCUGUGAUGCCCUUAGAUGUUCUGGGC
rnacentral:rRNA from 1 species